rnacentral:misc_RNA from 1 species
CAACCCUCAAGACCCCUUCGGGGGACUUGGUGUUGGGGACCGGCACAGGGGGCCCUGCCUGCUUGUCUCGCAGCGCCCCUCGCCGCCCCCGAAAUGAAUUGGCGGCCUCGUCGCGGCCUCCCCUGCGUAGUAGCACAACCUCGCAACGGGAAACGUGACGGCGGCCACUGCCGUAAAACAACCCCAAUUUUUAUUAG